GGAACAGAGGAUGCUGGGAAGCAAACUUCGGUGCUCUACAAGAGCAGGAAACACUCAGCUGAGGAGCCACCUCUCCCGCCCGUUAUAUAUAGACAGCAACUCCAUAGAACGUUCUUCACCCCGUUGUCCCUGCCACAUCUUGGGCUUUUCUUGUAGGCGGCCAUGUUGAUACUGAUGGCGCGUGUGCGUCAAGGAUCCUAGAGGCAACAGCCAGAAACUCUAAGGAACCUAUUGGGACUCUUAUCAAAGUGCAGUUGGCAGCCUGAGACACAGACCUGAACAUACUGUGCUCCAACCCCAUCGCCAUCUGACUCCUGAUGCUAGCAAGAGCUGUCCAUCAGACAAGGAGACAUGUCCACACCAGAACCCCACUACCGCGAUGUCACCUCAAGGCCUCAUCAGCUGAAGCCAGGUUGGCCACACUCCUUUCAUUAAGACCCAGUUUCUUGGGGGCUGGUGAAAUGGCUCAGCGGUUAAGAGCACUGACUGCUCUUCUGAAGGUCCUGAGUUCAAAUUCCAGCAACCACAUGGUAGCU